GAUAAACGCUGGCGGCGUGCAUGAGACAUGCAAGUCGAACGAGUGACUUAGGGCUUGCUCUAAGUCGCUAGUGGCGGACGGCUGAGUAACGCGUAGGUGACCUACCCCGAAGCGGGGAAUAACUGCCCGAAAGGGUGGCUAAUACCGCAUGUGAUCGGUCACUCAUUUGAUUGAUCAAAGCAGAAAUGCGCGUUGGGAGGGGCCUGCGUCCGAUUAGCUCGUUGGUGGGGUAAUGGCUCACCAAGGCGACGAUCGGUAGGUGGUCUGAGAGGACGAUCACCCAGACUGGGACUGAGACACGGCCCAGACUCCUACGGGAGGCAGCAGUCGGGAAUUUUGCUCAAUCGGGGAAACCCUGAAGCAGCAACGCCGCGUGAGGGAUGAAGGCCUUCGGGUUGUAAACCUCUUUUCUCAGGGACGAUGAUGACGGUACCUGAGGAAUAAGCCACGGCUAACUACGUGCCAGCCGCCGCAGUAAGAC
rnacentral:rRNA from 1 species